rnacentral:rRNA from 1 species
AAGCGUGUGAGCCAUGUGCCGAGAAAAGCUGCUAUUGUGUAAUGCGUGCCCGUACCGUAAACCGACACAGGUGGAUGAGGAGAGAAUCCUAAGGCCGACGGAAGAAGCAUUGUUAAGGAAUUCGGCAAAAUGACCCCGUAACUUCGGGAGAAGGGGUGCCUGCGAGAGCAGGCCGCAGAGAAUAGGCUCAAGCAACUGUUUAGCAAAAACACAGGUCUAUGCGAAACCGAAAGGUGAAGUAUAUGGGCUGACGCCUGCCCGGUGCUGGAAGGUUAAGAGGAGAGGUUAGCGAAAGCGAAGCUUUGAAUUUAAGCCCCAGUAAACGGCGGCCGUAACUAUAACGGUCCUAAGGUAGCGAAAUUCCUUGUCGGGUAAGUUCCGACCCGCACGAAAGGCGUAAUGAUUUGAGCACUGUCUCGACAAUGCAUCCGGUGAAAUUGAAGUACCAGUGAAGAUGCUGGUUACCCGCGCCAGGACGGAAAGACCCCAUGGAGCUUUACUCCAGUUUGAUACUGGGAUUCGGUACUGCAUGUACAGGAUAGGUGGGAGACGAAGAAGGAUGGACGCCAGUCUGUCCGGAGUCGCUGUUGGGAUACCACCCCUGUAGUACUGGGUUUCUAACCAGUUACCAUGAUCUGGUAAUGGGACAAUGUCAGGCGGGGAGUUUGACUGGGGCGGUCGCCUCCGAAAGGGUAUCGGAGGCGCUCAAAGGUUCCCUCAGAAUGGUUGGAAACCAUUUGAAGAGUGCAAAGGCAGAAGGGAGCUUGACUGCGACACCGACGGGUGGAGCAGGUACGAAAGUAGGACUUAGUGAUCCGGUGGUAUAAAGUGGGAUUGCCAUCGCUCAACGGAUAAAAGCUACCCUGGGGAUAACAGGCUUAUCACUCCCAAGAGUUCACAUCGACGGAGUGGUUUGGCACCUCGAUGUCGGCUCAUCGCAUCCUGGGGCUGUAGCAGGUCCCAAGGGUUGGGCUGUUCGCCCAUUAAAGCGGUACGCGAGCUGGGUUCAGAACGUCGUGAGACAGUUCGGUCCCUAUCCGGCGCGGGCGGAGGAUAUUUGAGAGGAGCUGUCCUUAGUACGAGAGGACCGGGAUGGACGGACCACUGGUGUAUCUGUUGUCGACCAACGGCAUGGCAGAGUAGCCAAGUCUGGAAGGGAUAAACGCUGAAGGCAUCUAAGCGUGAAGCCCCCCUCAAGAUGAGAUAUCCCUCCUUCGGGAGUAAGACCCCUUGAAGACUACAAGGUAGAUAGGGCAGAGGUGGAAGCAUGGCAACAUGUGGAGCUGACUGUUACUAAUAGGUCGAGGGCUUAAUCUG